rnacentral:rRNA from 1 species
AUUGAACGCUGGCGGCAGGCCUAACACAUGCAAGUCGAACGAGUGGCGGACGGGUGAGUAAUGUCUGGGAAACUGCCCGAUGGAGGGGGAUAACUACUGGAAACGGUAGCUAAUACCGCAUACCAUCGGAUGUGCCCAGAUGGGAUUAGCUAGUAGGUGGGGGAACGGCUCACCUAGGCGACGAUCCCUAGCUGGUCUGAGAGGAUGACCAGCCACACUGGAACUGAUACACGGUCCAGAUCCCUACGGGAGGAAGCAGUGGGGAAUAUUGCACAAUGGGCGAAAGCCUGAUGCAGCCAUGCCGCGUGUAUGAAGAAGGCCUUCGGGUUGUAAAGUACUUUCAGCCAGGAGGCGUUACUCGCAGAAGAAGCACCGGCUAACUCCGUGCCAGCAGCCGCGGUAAUAC